GCAGAGCAGUGUUCUCCUCAGCACAAACCCGGGUGGGCCGGGGGCACCGCGAGGGCGGAGCUGCAUUCUGCUCAGCACAGACCUUGGGGCACUGCCUCGCUUUGGGACAACUCGGGGCCGCAUCGACGGUGAAUAAAAUUCUUCCUGCACUGCAGCCAGCCAGAGCGUAGAAAGGCGUCGGGUCAAAGAAGAUGGCCACGGAGACAGCAGUGUGGUCAGAGUGGUAGGAGCCAGCCAUCAGCGAGAGCUGCUCCGUGCCUGGCUGCUGGGUGCUAGAGCCUGCGGCCCACUGGCUUGCCUCACUGUGGUUGGUGGUGGCGGUGACAAAGACUGCAGCACGACCAGAGUGGCUUUUCUGGCUUUGCCCACCCAGCUGCUCCAUGCCAGGAGGAGGAGAAGACACCUAGAGCCUGCGACACCACGGCUCGCCUCGCUGCGGGCCAGGCAUGGUGGCUCCUACCUGUAAUCCCAACAUUUUGAGAGGCCAAGUUUGGAGAAUCAUUUGAGGCCAGGAGUUGACCAGCCUGGGCAACAUAGUGAGACCUUGUCUUUAUUAAAUAAAUAAAUAAAUAGGUUGGGCACUGUGGCUCAUGUCUGUAAUCCCAGCAUUUUGGGUUGCCAAGGCAGGAGGAUUGCUUGAGCCCAGGAGUUUGAGACCAGCCUGGGCAGCAUAGCAAGCGUCCCUCUCUACAAAUAAUAAAAUAUUAACCAGGUGCGGUGGUGCGCACCUGGGGUCCCAGCUACCUGGGAGGCUAAGGUGGGAGGUUUGCUCGAGGCUGCAGUGAACUGUGAAUGCACCACCGCAUUCCAGCCUAGGCCACAGAACAGGACCUUGUCUAUAAAUAAAGAAAUAAGUAAAAAUAUAAAUAAAAAUAAGUAAAAAGAAAUAUAAGUAAAUAUAAACGUAAAUACAUAUAAAUAUAAAAAUGAAUACAUGAAAACAAUUUUUAAAUUUAACAUCACUGAGGGCAUCCUAUCCAUUUCAUUUCAUGAUUCCAUUACAUCAUUUCACUUAGAUGAAAUGAUAAGAUGACUUGAGAUGAGAUGAAAUGAUGAGAUGAAAUGAAAUGAAAUAAUGAAAUGAUAUGAAAUAAUGAAAUUGAAAUGAGAUGAGAUGACAUGAAAUAAUGAGAUAAAAUGAUGAGAUGAAAUGAGGUGAACGAUGAGAUGAAAUGAUGAGAUGAGAUGAUAAGAUGAAAUGAUGAGAUGAAAUGAGAUGAAAAAUGAGAUGAAAUGAAAUAAUGAAAUGAGAUUAAAUUAAAUGAAAUGAUGAAAGGAAAUUAUGAAAUGUAAUGAUGAAAUUGAAAUGAGAUGAGAUGCAAUGAGAUGAAAUGAUGUAAUGAGAUGAGAUGAAAUGAGAUGAAAUGAUGAGAUGAAAUGAGAUGAUGAGAUAAGAUGAAAUGAUGAGAUGAAAUGGUGAGAUGAAAUGAAAUGAGAUGAAAUGAACUGAGAUGUCAUGAAAUGAGAUGAAAUGAAAUGACAUGAUGAAAUGAAAUGACCUAAUGAAAUGAAAUAAUGAAAUGAGAUGAAAUGAAAUAAUGAAAUGAUGAAAUAAUGAAAUGGAAAUGAAAUGGAAAUGAUGAGAUGAGAAGAAAUGAUGAGAUGAAAUGAUGAAAUGAGAUGAAAUGAUGAGAUGAAAUGAGAUUAAAUGAUGAGAUGAAAUGAUGAGAUGAGAUGUGAUGAAAUGAUGAGAUGAAAUGAGAUUAAAUGAUGAGAUUAAAUGAUGAGAUGAGAUGUGAUGAAAUGAUGAGAUGAAAUGAUGACAUGAUAUGAUGACAUGAAAUCAGAUGAAAUAAUGAGAUUAAAUGAUGAGAUGAGAAGAAAUGAGAUGCAAUGUGAUGAGAUGAAAUGACAUAAUGAAAUGAAAUGAUGAAAUGGAAUAAUGAAAUGGAAAUGAAAUGGAAAUGAUGAGAUGAGAUGCAAUGAGUUGAAAUGAUGAGAUGAAAUGAGAUGAAAUGAUGAGAUGAGACGAGAUGUGAUGAAAUGAUGACAUAAAAUGAGAUGAAAUAAGGUGUAAUGAUGAAAUGAGAUGAGAUGAAAUGGAAUGGUGAGAUAAAAUGAUGAUACGAAAUGAGGUGAAUGAUGAGAUGAAAUGAUGAGAUGAAAUGAAAUGAAAUGAAAUAAUGAGAUGAAAUGAAAUAAUGAAAUGAAAUUGAAAUAAAUUGAAAUCAGAUGAGAUGAAAUGAUGAGAUGAAAUAAGAUGAAAUGAUAAAAUAAAAUGAUGAAAUGAUGAGAUGUGAUUAGAUGAAAUGAUGACAUGAGAUGACAUGACAUGAAAUAAUGAAAUGAGAUGAAAUAAUGAAGAAAUGAAAUUGAGAAGCUACGAGAUGAGACGAAAUGAUGAGAUGAAAUGAGAUUAAAUGAUGAGAUUAAAUGAGAUGAGAUGUGAUGAAAUCAUGAGAUGAAAUGAUGACAUGACAUGAUAUGAUGACAUGAAAUCAGAUGAAAUAAUGAGAUGAAAUGAUGAGAUGAGAAGAAAUGAGAUGAGAUGAAAUGUGAUGAGAUGAAAUGACAUAAUGAAAUGAAAUGAUGAAAUGGAAUAAAGAAAUGGAAUAAUGAAAUGGAAAUGAGAUGAGAUGCAAUGAGUUGAAAUGAUGAGAUGAGAUGAAAUGAUGAGAUGAGACGAGAUGUGAUGAAAUGAUGACAUGAAAUGACAUAAAAUGAGAUGAAGUAAGAUGUAAUGAUGAGAUGAAAUGAGAUGAGAUGAAAUGAAAUGGUGAGAUAAAAUGAUAUGAAAUGAUGAGAUGAAUGAUGAGAUGAAAUGAUGAGAUGAAAUGAAAUGAAAUAAUGAGAUGAAAUGAAAUAAUGAAAUGAAAUUGAAAUAAAAUUGAAAUGAGAUGAGAUGAAAUGAUACCGUGAGUGUCUGAAUGU